rnacentral:rRNA from 1 species
UGGGGAAUUUUGGACAAUGGGCGCAAGCCUGAUCCAGCAAUACCGCGUGCAGGACGAAGGCCUUCGGGUUGUAAACUGCUUUUGUACGGAGAGAAAAGGCUUUUCCUAAUACGAAGAGCAAAUGACGGUACCGUAAGAAUAAGCACCGGCUAACUACGUGCCAGCAGCCGCGGUAAUACGUAGGAUCCAAGCGUUAUCCGGAUUUAUUAGGUUUAAAGGGUGUGUAGGCGGAUUUGCAAGUCAGCGGUGAAAGCCCAUAGCUCAACUAUGGAACUGCCGUAGAUACUGCGGACCUUGAGUCCACUUGAAGUAGGCGGAACGUGUAAUGUAGCGGUGAAAUGCUUAGAUAUUACACAGAACACCAAUUGCGAAGGCAGCCUACUAAGUUGUUACUGACGCUGAUGCACGAAAGCGUGGGGAGCGAACAGG